rnacentral:snRNA from 1 species
AUCGCUUCUCGGCCUUUUGGCUAAGAUCAAGUGCAGAGAAGGGAGAAAGGGCUUUGAGAGCCAGGAGACAUCCUCCCAGCAGCUGCUAAAAUGUGGAUGUUGCUACUGUUUUUUUUUUUUUUUUUUUUUUAAACGGAGUCUUGCUCUAUCGCCCAGGCUAGAGUGCAGUGGCGAGAUCUCGGCUCACUGCAACCUUU